rnacentral:rRNA from 1 species
GUGGGGAAUAUUGGGCAAUGGGCGAAAGCCUGACCCAGCAACGCCGCGUGAAGGAAGAAGGUUUUCGGAUCGUAAACUUCUAUCCUUGGUGAAGAUAAUGACGGUAGCCAAGAAGGAAGCCCCGGCUAACUACGUGCCAGCAGCCGCGGUAAUACGUAGGGGGCAAGCGUUGUCCGGAAUGAUUGGGCGUAAAGGGCGCGUAGGCGGCCCGGUAAGUCUGAAGUGAAAGUCCUGCUUUUAAGGUGGGAAUUGCUUUGGAUACUGUCGGGCUUGAGUGCAGGAGAGGUAAGCGGAAUUCCCGGUGUAGCGGUGAAAUGCGUAGAGAUCGGGAGGAACACCAGUGGCGAAGGCGGCCUGCUGGACAUUUACUGACGCUGAGGCGCGAAAGCGUGGGGAGCAAACAGGAUUAGAAACCCCAGUAGUCC